AGAGUUUGAUCCUGGCUCAGGACGAACGCUGGCGGCGUGCUAACACAUGCAAGUCGAACGGGGUAGAGAGCUUCGGUUCUCUGCUUAGUGGCGAACGGGUGAGUAACGCGUGAGAAACCUGCCUUUCAGUGGGGGACAACAGUUGGAAACGACUGCUAAUACCGCAUAAUGUUAUUUGGGGGCAUCCCUGAAUAACCAAAGCUUUAUGUGCUGAAAGAUGGUCUCGCGUCUGAUUAGCUAGAUGGCGGGGUAACGGCCCACCAUGGCGACGAUCAGUAGCCGGUCUGAGAGGAUGAACGGCCACAUUGGGACUGAGAUACGGCCCAGACUCCUACGGGAGGCAGCAGUGGGGAAUAUUGGGCAAUGGGGGAAACCCUGACCCAGCAACGCCGCGUGAGGGAAGAAGGCUUUCGGGGUUGUAAACCUCUUUUACCAGGGACGAAGAACGUGACGGUACCUGGAGAAAAAACCAACGGCUAACUACGUGCCAGCAGCCGCGGU
rnacentral:rRNA from 1 species